rnacentral:lncRNA from 1 species
GUAGGGCUUGCUUCUCCAGAUAGUUUUCCAAUUCCAAGAGAUGUUGGGAGGGGAAAGAACAGUAAGUGAGAGGUAACAGCCUUUAACUGAAAAAAGUCCCUUGGAGUCGAGUCCAUUUGACAUAGUCAGGUAUGUAGACAAAAGAGGGAUCGGUGUUAAGAAGUUGAAGCAACUAAAUGUAGCUUUAAAUUUCCCAGUCAUUAAGAUUCGUUCUAAAAGUGAUGGGCCGGUCAUUAGAUUGCCUAAAGCUGACAUAAGAGCUUCCUGAAGGGAUGAGAGUCAACCAUCUCUUUCUGCUUUGCCCAGUAACAAACAACCCAUGGAUCUUCUUCUGAACAUCUGGAUUACAAUGGCUAAUGCGAGAAAAUUUGGAUGCGGAAAGACUGACAAGGAACAGGAAAAGUUAAGGAGGAUAGUACCAGCUUGCAUUAAGCGCAGC